rnacentral:misc_RNA from 1 species
GGGGAGGUGCUGGGGGAGUGCUCCAACUGUAUGGACAGGGCUUUCCUGGAUGCAGGGUACAUGAGCUCAAGAAAGGUUAAUGCCAUUGGAGCUCUUGAGCUGAGGGUGGUCCGUAAAGGAACUUUUCACAAGAUUAUGGAUCAUUAUCUGUCGUUAGGAGCGGCUGUUAGUCAGUACAAAACUCCUCGUUGUGUUAGCCCCACAAACACCACUGUCUUGCAGAUCCUCUGCUCCAAUGUUGUUAACUCCUAUUUUAGUACUG